GAAAGAGAAGCCAAACUACUUCAGUUUCAGUGAAGAAGCAACUUUGGGCAAAGGGUUUGUUUUGACUCACUGGUGAAGGUGCAGCAGGGAAGUUAAGGUAUCAGAAGUCUGAAGCAAAUGGCCACACUGUGUCCACAGCCAGGAAGCAGAGCUCUGAUGAAUGCCUGUUGUUACUCAGCACCUUUCUCUGGGUCUAUAGUCCAGGGUAUUGGCCAGGACACACUGCCAGUCAAGGUGUGCAAUGUUUUGCGUUGCACGAAAAACAAAAUAGCCCAAGCUUUAAGCUGAAGAACAGAAAAGCAAAGCAGCUGGGCACUAGCUUCCACUCCGCCUCCGACUUAAAUGAGAUCCUGGCACCACCAAACCACAGAAUGAAGCCUUGCCUCAGCAUGGCUGGAGAAUCCUGAGACUUCAAUGUUUUCCUACCCUCAGUGUCACUGGAGAAUGAAUUUCUGAGACUGAC
rnacentral:lncRNA from 1 species